AGUGAACGCUGGCGGUAGGCCUAACACAUGCAAGUCGAACGGCAGCACAGUAAGAGCUUGCUCUUACGGGUGGCGAGUGGCGGACGGGUGAGGAAUACAUCGGAAUCUACUUUUUCGUGGGGGAUAACGUAGGGAAACUUACGCUAAUACCGCAUACGACCUACGGGUGAAAGCAGGGGAUCUUCGGACCUUGCGCGAUUGAAUGAGCCGAUGUCGGAUUAGCUAGUUGGCGGGGUAUAGGCCCACCAAGGCGACGAUCCGUAGCUGGUCUGAGAGGAUGGUCGGCCACACUGGAACUGAGACACGGACCAGACUCCUACGGGAGGCAGCAGUGGGGAAUAUUGGACAAUGGGCGCAAGCCUGAUCCAGCCAGACCGAGUGGGUGAAGAAGGCCUUCGGGUUGUAAAGCCCUUUUGUUGGGAAAGAAAAGCAGCAGGUUGAUACCCCGCUGUUCUGACGGUACCCAAAGAAUAAGCACCGGCUAACUUCGUG
rnacentral:rRNA from 1 species